rnacentral:pre_miRNA from 1 species
GACGGCUCCGCAAGCAGGGGCUGUGAGCCAGGCUAGCCCCUGGUUGUUGUGCCGAUACC